AGAGUUUGAUCAUGGCUCAGGAUGAACGCUGGCGGCGUGCCUAAUACAUGCAAGUCGAACGGGGAUGCAGCAAUGUAUCUUAGUGGCGACCGGGUGCGUAACACGUAGCUAACCUGCCCCUCAGCGGGGAACAACUGUUGGAAACGACAGCUAAUACCGCAUGAUGUUCACGGGAAUAAAUACUGUGAACUAAACUUACGGGGUUGAGGGAGGGGGCUGCGGCCCAUCAGGUAGUUGGAGAGGUAAAAGCUCACCAAGCCAAUGACGGGUAGGGGACCUGAGAGGGUGGUCCCCCACACUGGGACUGACAACGGCCCAGACUCCUACGGGAGGCAGCAGUAAGGGAUAUUGCGCAAUGGGCGAAAGCCUGACGCAGCAACGCCGCGUGGAGGAUGAAGGCCUUCGGGUCGUAAACUUCUUUUAGCAGGGACGAGGAAGGACGGUACCUGCGGAAUCAGUCACGGCUAACUACGUGCCAGCAGCCGCGGUA
rnacentral:rRNA from 1 species